CUCUUACCAACUCACACCGCCCUGUCUCAGUGUCAUGUCGCUGAGCAGCUCCUCCACCCUGCCCCUCAUUGCAGAGUGCUCCAGUCUCACAGUGAAGAAUAAGUGUCGGCUGGUGAAGCCGAUGAUGGAGAAGAGAUGUCGGGUUUGGUUAAACCACAGCAUCAACUCACUGAAAGACCUGGUGGAAACAAAUAUUGAGUCAUCAAACUGGAAGAAGCUGGCAUCUUGGAAAUGAAUCCACACUGAGUUCACAUUCCAGAUCUCUGUCCAAUGGAAUUGAAGAUUAGCAGCAUCCGUUGGUGAUUCUGAUGCAUUCUCUCUCCACAUCGAAGCAGGGUCACAGCUGGGCUCUGGGCCAAAAUUCAAACCCUCCCCAACCCCUGCCCCCACCAAACAUGGGGAUGGAGAUAUGAGCAGGAGUGAGGGUUAUUCCACCUGGAAGCACUGGCUGCGUCUUCUCCAGGAAUUGGCACCCUGUGUUCUCAUCUGUAACGUAUCUUUGUAUUUGUUCAUCCUGACAAAACUGAGUUGAUGAUAAACUCAGAUUUAUAUCUCUGACCAUUCAUUCUGAGGUGUCCUGUUUGAAGGGGCUUCCAGUCUGCGGUUCUGUACCUGGUCGGACUAUUUAUUGUGGUGUAGAUCUGAAGUUCUCUUACUUAGAGUCAUAGCAUCAAAGAAGUAUACAGCACAGAAUGUCCCUCAAAACCGCUCCUGCCCCCAUCCCCAAACACAGACACCCCAGUCUGUCUUCAGAUCACCCCCAAAUUAUUUGCUGAGGAGGAGGCUGGAAUCCAAACUCAAGUAUUCCUCUUAAAAAUUUCAGCUGGAGAUUGUUGUUCAAGUAGCAACCUGAAGAGGUUAUAAAUACAGGGCAAAUAAUGCCACAUACUGGUCCAACUCCUCCUGCACACUGUAAAAUGUGUAGUCAGUGUGUCCAUUUCCAAGGAUCAGCGUUACUUUACUAGGGAUUUCCCUCUGGGAUAGCAGCAGGAGUAAAGCCUAUCAUUCGGUCAGAUCAUGGCUGGUCCUUCACCUCAUCCUCACGUUCCUUAAUUUCUUAAUAAUACAAAAAUCUGUCUUAUCUACAUCAUAGCAGUGCAUCCACAAGCUGCUGGGAAAGAGUUUCAAAGAUUUGGAUGUUUUUCAGAUCUCAGUCAAGAUGGCCAACCCCUGACGUUCUUGGUCAAUGACUAUCUUCUAAACUCCAGAGAGUAUAGGCCCAUUCUACACAAUCUCUCCUCGUGGGACAGUCCACUUGCCCAAGACAUUAAUCUAUAGUGAACUUUCAUUGCGUCAACCCUUUGAGCUACAGAGACCAAAAUUGAGCAAAGUUCAAAAGUGGUCUCAGCAUAGCCCUCAACAACAAAAGAAUUGAAAGGUCAGAGAAGAGAGGUGCAAGAUCAAGAGGUUGUCCCAGGUGUCUGUGUAAGGUGUAAGGUAGGGCAAGGCCUCGCUGGGACUGUUACUGCAGGUUCCCAGUUUGCUACACACCCUCCAGACCUCAGUGAACUGUGCUGUCCAGUGCCAUUGUUGUUGGCAACUGAAGAUCAGUGGAAUCCUAGCUCUGUGUCCCUGGAGUUCUGAUCAUAUGACAUGAUCAUGUGACAAUUGCCUGCAGUUUGUAAAUGUUUUGCAAUAACCUUCCAAAUGUUGAUUCCUUCCUAAUUGAGUUUCAGCUUGUGUGAUGGUGCUGUUAGAAAAGUAUUACCAGGAUAUUUAUAAAAUAAUGAACUUGCAUUUAUAUAGCACCUUUCAUAGCACCAGGAAACCCUACUGUAUUUUACAGUUAACAAGAUACUUUAGAAGUUCAGUCACAACUCUAAUGCAGGGAAAUGUGUCAGUCAGUUUGCAAAAUGCAAUAUAUCUACACUGCUUCUUUAGUUACUGCCCCUCUGAUAGGGCAAUGCUCCCUCAGAAGUGCCCCUCUGAUAGAGCAAUGCUCCGUCAGUACUGCCUCUCUGUCUGAAUGGUGGAGCAGGCCCAAAUAGCGGAAUGGCCUAAUUCUGCACUUCUAUCUUAUGGUCUUAUAGACGUGAUAAUACUGCCUCAGUGCUGCCCCUCUGACAGGGACAUACUCAAUUGGUGCUGUCCCUCUGACAGGGCACUAUUCCCUUGGUACAAUCCCUCCAACAGGGUGAUACUGCUAUCGCAUUGUGCUGGAGUCUCCAGCAUUGAUUAUGUGCUCAAGCACACUCUGUCCCUGUUUAAAAAGAAGUGCAUCACAGAUUCUUGUAAUGAUUUCAUUUAUCUUAAUGGCUUAAUUUGGGAGGUACUUUCAUUCUUAAAGUAUUUUUUGGAAAACAUGGAAGUUAGAGUUUUUAAUAAGUUUUGGAGUUGUGUAUCCUGUAUUAUUUCUCAUGUACUGGAUUGUAUAGCUGUUCAUGUCGCAAAUAAGAUGACAAUUUGUCCACAUUUAUCUCCUGAGCACUUUGUAUAUGUCAGCACGUAUAAUUAAGAAAUAGAA